rnacentral:rRNA from 1 species
CCUACGGGAGGCUGCAGUAGGGAAUCUUCCACAAUGGGCGAAAGCCUGAUGGAGCAACGCCGCGUGGGUGAAGAAGGUCUUCGGAUCGUAAAACCCUGUUGUUAGAGAAGAAAGUGCGUGAGAGUAACUGUUCACGUUUCGACGGUAUCUAACCAGAAAGCCACGGCUAACUACGUGCCAGCAGCCGCGGUAAUACGUAGGUGGCAAGCGUUAUCCGGAUUUAUUGGGCGUAAAGGGAACGCAGGCGGUCUUUUAAGUCUGAUGUGAAAGCCUUCGGCUUAACCGGAGUAGUGCUUUGGAAACUGGGAGACUUGAGUGCAGAAGAGGAGAGUGGAACUCCAUGUGUAGCGGUGAAAUGCGUAGAUAUAUGGAAGAACACCAGUGGCGAAAGCGGCUUUCUGGUCUGUAACUGACGCUGAGGUUCGAAAGCGUGGGUAGCAAACAGGAUUAGAUACCCUUGUAGUC